rnacentral:lncRNA from 13 species
CCCUGACCUACCCAGACAGAGAAUAAAAAGGAUCUCUAAGGUCAGGGUGUGAUAGUAGAAUGGCCUUUUAUUGUCCUCAGAACGAGGUGCACUUAUGUAAUGAUCAUGCUGUUUAAUCAGUUUCUUGAUAUGGCACACCUGUCAGGUGGAUGGAUUAUCUUGGCAAAGGAGAAAUACUCACUAACAGGGAUGUAAGCAAAUGUGUGCUCAACAUUUGAGAGAAAUUAGAUGCAAGAACAAAUGAUUAUUUCUUUGCAAGUUCACCUCAGGCCCCGGCCCUGCUCCACCCACUGACCUGAUUACUCUAGAUUAGAGAGGCUGACAUGAUGAUUGCAGCACAGCAGAUCUUCUUCCCUCAUCACUUUCAUAGCACAUUGUGCGGCGAUAUCUUGGACAGAUGUUCUGCAUUGAAGCAAGGCCUACACUGAUCUGGAACAAUGCCCUUACCCAGUCCUCUAUGGCUGCUACUUAUAUGCUCCCACUCUUAAUCUCUCUCUCUCUCUCUCUCUCAAUAACUACAGUAUUUAUCUCUCUCUCUCUCUCUCUGUCUGCCUCACUCUCUCUCUCUCCACCUCCCUCUCCCUCCCUCUAUUUUUCUCUCCAACACUGUCCUCUCCCCCUUCUCUGACAUCUCCAACCGAGAUAUUUCUAAUGACAUAAUUAACAUUGGGUUUAUUGGAGGGUGGGGAGUUCAGGUGUCAGUAUUUGGACAGGCUCUCACCACUCUCUGAUAUUAAGGCUAAUUGAGACAACUCUGUGUGCAUCUCUGUUCUCUCCCUGGUGCUGGCUGGUCUUUGGCCUGUGAGCCUGAUUGCUCCCAGCUUGUUACCAGCCUGGAUCAUGAUAGGUUGGGUCAUCAAGGGGAUACAAGAUGACUGCUGGGGUUAUGAGUGACUGAGUGAGAGGGAGAUAAUUCAAUGGGAGGACAGAUUACAGAAGGAACAGACAAAGACUGUGCCCAGUUUUACCACAAGAGGGCAGACUCAGAGGGCAUGCUGGUAGGCUGCCUACUCACCCACCACUCACCAGUCCCCAUUCACCAUACCCAUACCCAUACCGGACCUGUUUCACUGGCUUCACCUGGGACUACAGAUACAUCCUCCUCUCCACAGAUGCAGAAGGGCACCACCGGCGGAUGCAGUAGAUUGCGAUGCAGCCCAAGUGUAGCGAUUGUCGUCGGGAGAAGGAGAAGAGGACCAAGUUGCAGCGUGGUAAGUAUUCAUAAUACUUUUAAUAAAUACGAAUACUUGAACAAAACACGACAAACAAACAGUUCUGCAAGGUACAAAACAGAAAACAACUACCCACAACCCAUAGUGGGAAAACAGGCUGCCUAAGUGUGGUUCUCAAUCAGAGACAACGACAGACAGCUGUCCCUGAUUGAGAACCAUACCCGGCCAAAAACACAGAAAUAGAAAAACAUAGAAAAAAGAACAUAGAACGCCCACCCUAGUCACACCCUGGCCUAAACAACAUAGAGAAUAAAAAGCCACUUUAUGGCCAGGGCGUGACACCAAGCUUAAAUUUAUGGAUUUUGAUGGGGAUUAUUUUAUUAUGCUAUUUCAUUUUCACGGGGCUGUGGACAUUGACUGAAGGGGGUUAAAUUAUUUGAUGACGGAAAUAUAUUUAGUAUAGUUUUAUCUAAAAAGGAUAACUUUUUAAAUGUUUCACUAUUGUUAUUUUUAUAUUAUUCACUGAGGACGGUCCUCCCUUUCCUCCACACACACACACACUCAUGGCAUGUGUUAGAUAUAUUAUUCAUGUGCUGUAUAUGUGGACUUUGUGUACAUGCACUGCAGUAAGUUGAGCUGGGGGGGGGGGGCUGUUAGUAAUGCUGACUGUUUGACUGUAUCUCCACUCUGUCCUGGUGAAGAAUGGGCCUGUCACAGCCCCAGAACAAUUCCCAGCUGUGGGCCAGUGUGAUUGAGACGCAGGGUUCUGAUAACUGGGCCUGACACACAGUAAGGAGAAAGCGUUCAGAGCCACAUCUAUCAUGCUGUAGCCAGGAUCUGCUAGCCCCCCAAAUCAGGCCAGAAACGAUCCACAGCCUGGCCUGCUAAGCCCACCGACACAGUGUUCAGUACCAUUUAGACCAGGGGUGUGAAACUAAUUUUGCCCCAGGGGCCGCAUUUGGUAUUCAAUGCGUUCUGGAUGUCCGCACUGAAUUUUUUGUAUAUUUCUUCACUGUAAAAAUGUGUAAAGAAUUAUCAUCUUUCCAU